rnacentral:sRNA from 1 species
GAGCUAUUACUAACUUCUCCAUUUGAUUUUUUAUGGAUGUGAAAAAUGCUGCUACUUGUCUAUGUUAUUAUGUGGUAUUUGUUCUCUUGGAUUGAAAUUUAUGCCCACAGAUUUUUCUUUUCAUUUGAAAAUGAAUGUGAAGAUACUGUUUACAGCUUUUGUUAAUUGCAGUUUUCAUCACUCUGAUCAAUUUCUUGUAAAGUGCUAUGGGAAUUAUUUUUCCUGUGAAUAUUAAUGAUUUUACUACUGCCUCCAAAGUUUUAAAAAAGGUUCUGUAGACAGAAAACAGUUGUUGCAACCAAAAACAACCAAAAAAAGAAAAGGAAAACUGGCUUACCUUUCUCAGAUGAAUUAAAUGAUUUUAAUAACUUCCCAAUUACCAGGGUUAUAACGUUGCUUUCUUCAGUUAUUAAUACAGUCAAAUUAAUUUUAACAAUAUAAGCACAAUUCAUUUACAAAUUCAGUACAGUAGUCCAGGGCUACAUGUAAGUGGUCUCUAUUUUAUUCUUUACAUCAGAAAAAUCAUGAAUGUCAGUUUUGCCAGUAUUUUACAAUGAGGCUUAUCGUUUAAAAUUUUAUAGUGUAUGACAUGUAAAUAAACCAGUAUUUAUUGUAGGUUGUUUGAUUCAGGCAUUUCAAAUGGAUAUAGGUUAAUGGCAAUGGAAUCCUAUUUAUUUGGUAGUUGGUUUUGUUUUUGUUUAUUUACUUUUGCUAUUUGUUUUGUAUUGUCUAAACUUUGCUUCAACUGAAGACAGUGUAAGGAGUUGAAAAUACAAUCAACAUAGCAAUGGAAAGCAAUGCAAAGAGGGUAAAUCUUGUUUUAAUUUUUUUAACUUUUUUUUUUUUGUAAAUAAAUAGUACUGUGAUACUUUAGGUGUGACCUUCUAUUCCACAUGAUAGUUAGAACCAGAAAAACACUUUUGCUUUCUAGUUGUACUAUUGGUUCAUUGUAAAUGCAUUACCAAAAGACAAUAUGAAAAAGAGCAAGAUUAAGUUUUUCUAACAUUGUCCACUUCAGGGGCAAGCAUGCUUGGUAUAGAGCUCUAGCUUGUGUAUACCUUAAACUGUAACUUGCAGGUGUUUUUCAGUUGCUGCACUUUUUAUUUAAUCUUGCUCAGUCCCAGUAACUAUCUCAAAGGUAAUUGCUGGAAUAUGCAUUUUGAAAUACGGUUUAAAAAAAAUCUGUGUAUUGUUUCAUCUAAAAAGAAAAGCACUAUUGCAAACACUAAAAACGUGUUAAACUUUGUAGUUAUUUUGCAUUCCUGUACUUUACAAACUGUCAUCACAGCAAAAAGUUUAAAAUUAGGUAAUGAAAUAUUUUUGUAAAUAAAUACCGUUAAGCUGGUAUUUUAAAAAAUGUAUUAUAAAUUAAUGUUUCUGGAAAAUGUUCAUAUAUAUGUAUAUGAAUGUCUCUUUAUGCUGAAGGGCUCUGAUUGGGCAAAAUAAAAUACUCUAAUCUCUCCUG